rnacentral:lncRNA from 1 species
UAUAAAUGCAGAAUAUGUCUUUGGAACAUGAAAAUGAAGGAAAGGAUGAACAGUGGAGAUCAAUAUGCUUGGUAAGAAAUAUACAUAUAUUAUAUAUACACACGCACACUAUAUAUGUAUAUAUAUAUAUAUAUAUAUAUAUAUAUUACUUAAGUAAAUGUUUUUUUUACAAUAGGAUUUGUCAACAAGCAGUGCAUGAGGGAAGAGCAAAACAAAUUUCUGUCAGACACAAAUCAAUCUUCAGUGGAUCAAAGGUUUCCUUCAGUAAGUGGAUACAGUUAAUGUACAGGUUUUCUCAGGGUCUAAGGUUACGCCAGAUAGACAUGAUGGAUGACAGGUCUGUGUCACAGCAGUUGAAAGGAUGAGAAGGCGUACAGGCCAGAUGAUUGGUGGAAGAAGGGAGUUCGUUGUGAUCGACGGAAGUCAUUUUCAACACAAAAGAAAGGUAUGUUAUAGUAAUAGCGACCUUAAAUAAAUGUGCAAUAUAGUUACCAAAGAUACUGUUAUUAUAAUGUAUCUGUUUAUAUCUGUGUAUCUUGUGUUUUGUUUUUCUCCAUUAAUAUGGUAGAGGAAGAAUGGCUGGUGGGUGGAAAAGAAAAAAGUGGGUCUUUGGGAUGUUAGGUGUGAGGCAUCAUCAGCAGCAAAGAUCAGGAAAACCCAUUCUACGUCUUCUGGAGAGAAGGUCUCGAAGACAUCAAGUCCCCUUGAUUGCUCGUCAUGUAAGGCCUGGGUCAUCAAUUAUCAGUGACGAAUUACUCCCUGCACUUGGGUACAAUCAUCACACUGUCAACCACAGCAGGUGGUAUGUAGAUCCCCACACUGGUGCCCAUACCCAGCAUAUUGAGAGGAGCAGAUCUGGAGGCUUAGGGGAAAUCGUACUGAGAGUUUGCUUUCUGACCACCUUGCAGUGAUUGAGUUGAACGAAUGGCUGGCAAAGAAACACUCUGAUGGUGUAUUUGUCAGAUUGAUUCACUACAUUUCAAGAACAAAUAGUGAUAUUCCAACACUCUAACCAGUCUAAGAGGAGUGAGUAUUUGUUAAUCUCAGAUUAAUUGAGAAUACAAUUACAAACUUCUAGUUUAAAUGUAGUUAUUUUUUUUUUUUUUUAGCCUUUUACUAAGAUUUUAUGUUGAAUAUUGCAUUUUGGAGUUUUAUUUUUCAUUUUAUAUCAAGUGUACGGUUGUAAUUUUUUUGUGAAAAUAAAUAUAUUUUCUGUAUCCCUCUCUGUUGUUUCUUUCCUUUUUUUCUGUUUAGAAGAUAACUGAGUCUUUAAAUGUCAUUUAUAAAUGUUUUAUAAGGCAUAACUAGUCUUCACUUUAGAUGAGCUCACAAAAAUAGUUAACUGACAAGCAGUAAAUGUUUUAUAGCUACCUGAAUUAAUCAUGAAUUAAAGUAGGAAUACGUGUU